rnacentral:rRNA from 1 species
UACAGAGGGGGCUAGCGUUAUUCGGAAUCACUGGGCGUAAAGCGCGUGUAGGCGGUGUUGUAAGUCAGAGGUGAAAGCCCAGGGCUUAACCCUGGAAUUGCCUUUGAAACUGCAACACUUGAAUCAGACAGAGGUUGGUGGAAUUCCUAGUGUAGAGGUGAAAUUCGUAGAUAUUAGGAGGAACACCAGUGGCGAAGGCGGCCAACUGGGUCUGUAUUGACGCUGAGACGCGAAAGCGUGGGGAGCAAACGGG